GGGGAUUUAGCUCAGCGGCAUAAGCGCCUGCCUUGCAAGCAGGCAGUCGUGAGUUCUAUCCCCA
rfam:Cavia porcellus supercont2_9 genomic scaffold, whole genome shotgun sequence.